rnacentral:tRNA from 1 species
ACCCAACUGGCUCAGACGGUAAAGAAUCUGCCUGCAAUGCAGGACACCUGGGUUCGAUCCCUGGGUUGGGAA